UACGACUACAUAUCAGGCAUAUCAAUAAGCGGAGGAAAAGAAACUAACUAGGAUUCCCUUAGUAGCGGCGAGUGAAGCGGGAAGAGCUCAAAUUUGAAAUCUUCAAGGUUCUACCUUUACGAAUUGUAGUUUAAAGAAGUGUUUUCUGUUGGAGUUUGGUAAAAGUUCUUUGGAAUAGGACAUCAUAGAGGGUGAGAAUCCCGUAUUUGACCAGUUACUUUCCAGCUGUGUGAUACACUUUCAAAGAGUCGGAUUGUUUGGGAAUGCAGUCCAAAAUGGGUGGUAAAUUUCAUCUAAAGCUAAAUAUUGGCGAGAGACCGAUAGCGAACAAGUACCGUGAGGGAAGAUGAAAAGAACUUUGAAAAGAGAGUUAAACAGUACGUGAAAUUGUCAAAAGGGAAGCGUUUGACACCAGUGUUGUUUAGUUGAAAAUCAAUUAAAUAGUUUUCGAUUUUAAGUAGUAUUGACCUUAUCAGCUUGCUGCUCUCUUCUCGGAAAUUAUUUAAUGCACUUUUCAGUUAACAAGUCAACAUCAAUUUCUUUUGUUGUAAAAAGGUAAGAGGAAGGUGGCUUGCGCUUCGGCUCAAGUGUCUAUAGCCUUUUACUUCUGCAAUCGGAGAGAUUGAGGUCUGCAGCGUAGAUCCUUCGGGGUUAGAUACAUUUGUGCUAAGCUAUAGCCUUGUAUAGACAACUUGUUGACUAUGCUCAGUCAUGUAGCUUACUCGCUUAUGCUAUUUUACCUACGCUUAGGAUGUUGACGCGCGUGUGUGCGUG
rnacentral:rRNA from 1 species